rnacentral:rRNA from 1 species
CCUACGGGAGGCUGCAGUGAGGAAUAUUGGUCAAUGGACGAGAGUCUGAACCAGCCAAGUAGCGUGAAGGAUGACUGCCCUAUGGGUUGUAAACUUCUUUUAUAAAGGAAUAAAACGAGGCACGUGUGCCUUUUUGCAUGUACUUUAUGAAUAAGGAUCGGCUAACUCCGUGCCAGCAGCCGCGGUAAUACGGAGGAUCCGAGCGUUAUCCGGAUUGAUUGGGUUUAAAGGAAGCGUAGAUGGGUUGUUAAGUCAGUUGUGAAAGUUUGCGGCUCAACCGUAAAAUUGCAAUUGAUACUGGCAGUCUUGAGUACAGUUGAGGUAGGCGGAAUUCGUGGUGUAGCGGUGAAAUGCUUAGAUAUCACGAAGAACCCCGAUUGCGAAGGCAGCUUACUAAACUGUGACUGACAUUGAUGCUCGAAAGUGUGGGUAUCAAACAGGAUUAGAUACCCUAGUAGUC